AACGCACAUUGCGCCCCCUGGUAUUCCGGGGGGCAUGCCUGUCCGAGCGUCAUUGCACCCCUCAAGCCCGGCUUGUCCUUGGGUUGUGUCCCUCCGUUCCGGGGGGACAGGCCUCAAAUGCAAUGGCGGCACCGCGUCCGGUCCUCGAGCGUAUGGGGCUUUGUCACCCGCUUUGUAGGCCGGCCGGUCGCUUGCCCGUCAAGCACAACUUCUUAUGUUGACCUCGGAUCAGGUAGGGAUACCCGCUGAACUUAA
rnacentral:misc_RNA from 1 species